CCCUUUCCAAUCAAUCUUUGCCAGUUCCUCCAUCAUGCCUCAGUAGUCCCCUUUGCUGAGCUGCAGAAGUGACACAUCCG